AACAGAGAGAUUACACAAAAACCAAAACAGGAAGAAUCUCGAAGCAAUAAGGUACCGACCCUUACACCCAAUCAAAUGCAUUGUUUUAUUCCCCGUCUCAAAAGGUCUUCAAUGUUCAUAAUUGACGGUUUCACAAAAAACGAAGGAGCAUCCAACAGAUAGACCAAACGUCUGAAAAAAACUCCUUACCCCCAUUCAAUUUCCUUCCCCUCCUCUUUCAAUCCGUUUCUCUUGGCCUCCCCUCACCCUUCUGGUAUCAACAGUAAAAAAAAACGUUCCCUUCUAGGUGACAUGCUAAAGCUUCAGCAACGAAGGCAAUUGCUACUCUCUCAUGGAAACUCAAACAAGUGAAGAGUAUUAUUCCACCCUCAUCCCUAGCAACCACUCCUGACGCCGAUCAAAAACUCCGGCCAUCAAAAGCACCAUCAAAGUUUAUUUUGAUGACUGAACUCGUCGGAGUUAUCCAACCCAAAGUGCACAGUAAAGUAACUUCCUCAGAUGGGUGGUACAAGAUUCAAAUAUCCAAGACAUUGUUGGAAUAGAUGAUCUAUUGAUUCGUCCUCACCUCUACACCGAUGGCAGCAAGUAUUUGCGAUUAACUUCUUAGAAUUUAAGUUAGCAAACGUAGGUAGAUAGUUCCAAGAAAUCCUCCAGAAUGUAAUUUUAAUUUUUCCCGGGAGGUCUAGUUUCCAUAAGAGCUUAUAGAAAUCACUAGAUCAUGUCUGUAAUGCAGAAGUACUAGGAUCCUCCAAAUUUUAUGUAAUAGUUUGUAGGUGCUAUGAAUCGAGAACCCCCCGAAGGCUCCCCACCCCA